rnacentral:rRNA from 1 species
AAAUUUUUCGGAGAGUUUGAUCGUGGCUCAGAGUGAACGCUGGCGGCGUGCCUUAUACAUGCAAGUCGAGCGGACCAGUGAGGAAUGAAAGCUGAGAGCAUUUUGCUCGAAGCUUUUCAUUCUUUGCUGGUUAGCGGCGAACGGGUGAGUAACGCGUGGG